GAUGAACGCUGGCGGCGUGCUUAACACAUGCAAGUCGAACGGUGAAGCAGGAGCUUGCUCUUGUGGAUCAGUGGCGAACGGGUGAGUAACACGUGAGCAACCUGCCCCUGACUCUGGGAUAAGCGCUGGAAACGGCGUCUAACACUGGAUAUGUGAUGUGACCGCAUGGUCUGCAUCUGGAAAGAAUUUCGGUUGGGGAUGGGCUCGCGGCCUAUCAGCUUGUUGGUGAGGUAAUGGCUCACCAAGGCGUCGACGGGUAGCCGGCCUGAGAGGGGGACCGGCCACACUGGGACGGAGACACGGCCCAGACUCCUACGGGAGGCAGCAGUGGGGAAUCUUGCACAAUGGGCGGAGGCCUGAUGCAGCAACGCCGCGUGAGGGAUGACGGCCUUCGGGUUGUAAACCUCUUUUAGCAGGGAAGAAGCGAAAGUGACGGUACCUGCAGAAAAAGCACCGGCUAACUACGUGCCAGCAGCCGCCGUAA
rnacentral:rRNA from 1 species